rnacentral:rRNA from 1 species
AAUAGAUACCCGGGUAGUCCAUGCCGUAAACGUUGGGCACUAGGUGUGGGGCUCAUUCCACGAGUUCCGUGCCGCAGCAAACGCAUUAAGUGCCCCGCCUGGGGAGUACGGCCGCAAGGCUAAAACUCAAAGGAAUUGACGGGGGGCCCGCACAAGCGGCGGAGCAUGCGGAUUAAUUCGAUGCAACGCGAAGAACCUUACCAAGGCUUGACAUGCACGGGAAGCCACCAGAGAUGGUGGUCUCUUUGGACACUCGUGCACAGGUGGUGCAUGGUUGUCGUCAGCUCGUGUCGUGAGAUGUUGGGUUAAGUCCCGCAACGAGCGCAACCCUGUCCCAUGUUGCCAGCGGGUUAUGCCGGGGACUCAUGGGAGACUGCCGGGGUCAACUCGGAGGAAGGUGGGGAUGACGUCAAAUCAUCAUGCCCCUUAUGUCUUGGGCUUCACGCAUGCUACAAUGGCCGUACAAAGGGCUGCGAAUCCGUAAGGUGAGCGAAUCCCAAAAGCCGGUCUCAGUUCGGAUUGGGGU